GUAGGUGGCAAGCGUUGUCCGGAAUUAUUGGGCGUAAAGCGCGCGCAGGCGGUUCUUUAAGUCUGAUGUGAAAGCCCACGGCUCAACCGUGGAGGGUCAUUGGAAACUGGAGAACUUGAGUACAGAAGAGGAAAGCGGAAUUCCACGUGUAGCGGUGAAAUGCGUAGAGAUGUGGAGGAACACCAGUGGCGAAGGCGGCUUUCUGGUCUGUAACUGACGCUGAGGCGCGAAAGCGUGGGGAGCAAACCGGGAUUAGAUACCCUGGCAGUCCACGCCGUAAACGAUGAGUGCUAAGUGUUAGGGGGUUUCCGCCCCCUUAGUGCUGCAGCUAACGCAUUAAGCACUCCGCCUGGGGAGUACGGCCGCAAGGCUG
rnacentral:rRNA from 1 species